UCGUCUUAGACUAUGUGCACACGGUAACGUUUUCGAGCGUUUUCAGCUGUAACGUUUUCAAAGAGUGUCGUUUUCAAGCCGUGUCCACACGAAAACGGAUGAAAACGUCAUCUUAUGACGAAAACGUUUUCAAUGCUAAAAACGUUUUCGGACAAGCGUUUCCACGUUGAAACGCUAAAAAUCCAAGAUGGCGGCUUAAAAUCAAAAUGUUAUAUUUUUGUUUCCUGGAAGCUUAGAUCUUUCAUUGGAUCAUUAAUUCUUAAGUUAAAAACUUUAGCAACAGAUAAAACAAAAUGUAUAGCCUUUCAAAUGUAUAAUGAUUUAUGAACGAUUUAAAAUGCGGUUUGCUUUCGAAGAAGCGACAGACUUCGUAUCGGUGAUGCUAAACAGUACAUAUAAAACUGUUUAGUUUAUGAUAAUGAGCAGAGAACAUUUUAAGAAACUCGUUGACAAGUAAUGACUUUAUCUGGUGGAAAAUGAAUGGUGAUAACAAGCCGCUAGAGAUGGAAUUUUUAUCGAGACAAACAUUUGCAUCUCGUGAAAACGUUUCCGUGUGGACAGAGCGUCAAACUGACAAAAUUGGAAACGACGUUUUAGAAACGCUCGGAAACGUUACCGUGUGCACAUAGUCUUAGACGGAAA